rnacentral:rRNA from 1 species
UACGGAGGGGACUAGCGUUGUUCGGAAUUACUGGGCGUAAAGCGCACGUAGGCGGAUUUGUAAGUCAGGGGUGAAAUCCCGGGGCUCAACCUCGGAACUGCCUUUGAUACUGCAAAUCUCGAGUCCGGAAGAGGUGAGUGGAAUUCCUAGUGUAGAGGUGAAAUGCGUAGAUAUUGGGAGGAACACCAGUGGCGAAGGCGGCUCACUGGACCGGAACUGACGCUGAGGCGCGAAAGCGUGGGGAGCAAACAGG